ACAGCAGUAGCCACGGUAAUACGUAGGUGGCAAGCGUUGUCCGGAAUUAUUGGGCGUAAAGGGCUCGCAGGCGGUUUCUUAAGUCUGAUGUGAAAGCCCCCGGCUCAACCGGGGAGGGUCAUUGGAAACUGGGAAACUUGAGUGCAGAAGAGGACAGUGGAAUUCCACGUGUAGCGGUGAAAUGCGUAGAGAUGUGGAGGAACACCAGUGGCGAAGGCGACUCUCUGGUCUGUAACUGACGCUGAGGAGCGAAAGCGUGGGGAGCGAACAGGAUUAGAUACCCCUGUAGUCCCUGUCUCUUAUAC
rnacentral:rRNA from 1 species